CGAAUGACUUCUUUUUUAUUCGAGAACAGCCAUCAACUCAAGUUUACAUUAUAUAAAGAUAAAGAAUCAGAAGAUCUUUGUUUGAAUUAAGAAUUUGUUUGUCCUAAUAUUUUGAAACUUAAUCAAAAUUUUGGAUUUUUCACUGUCUUCUUGACUAUGAUUUCGAAGUUAAACUUUGUGUGUACACUAAGUUACCAUUUUCUCAAUUUUCUUUUAACAGCAUGGUGGGUGGACCAUACAACUAACAAUGAUGAUUCAGACUUUCUGGUAUCAGGGACCCCGUUUUAAUUUGUUUUAGUUAAUAAAAUAAAUGGAGAAAGCUACAAAUUAUAUAUUCAUUGAAACCAACUACUUCCUUAACACCUUUCAUUCUUCCCUCUCUUUGAAUAAUUUCGGAUUAGAUUACUGAUAACAAAUUUGAAUACUUGAAAAAUCGUCAAAGUCCAUUUGGAUGAACAAACACCGCUAUAAUUCUUCACACAUCAAGCUCAAAACUAGUGGAGAUAGUUUAUUAUCAUGUCUCUGUUUCUCAGUUAACACCUCCCAAGAAGUUGUACUAGAAAUGACUAACUGAUCCAUGCAACAAAAUUGCACUUACCUGGGGGGAGUUUAUUAUGAGGUCUCUGUCUUUUCAUUUGAUGUCCAUCAUCACAUGGAGGAAGCUGGGAUACAUAUAAUGGCUUGUCAUCAUUUCGUUGUUUUUUAAGCCGCUGAAUCCUUUCCUCGCGUUCCUAUUGGAAAAGCACACAUCAAACAUCUUGCUACUAAGUAUAUAUGGCUUUCAGAUUACAAUUUUAAAAAAAGAUGUUUCGACGCGGGGGGGGGGGGGUUGUAGUCAGUAGUCACUGCAGAGAAUGGGGUCAUAUUUUGCCAAUUAACUCAGUAACAAGUAUUGUUUGCAAAAAAUGCAAGUAAAGACACCAGCCAAUUCGACAAUUUCGAGGUGUAAAUGUGGACUGAUAUGGAGGAGAAGAAUUGGGGGCAAAAAUGACGAAUAGAACCAUGACUAUCUCACUCAUCUACCAAGUACCGUGACAUUUCACAAGCCCACACUAAAAGUUUUAAAACAUAUAAACUGUCGGCAUUAUUGUAAAGCGAGUGAUUCUGCAGCGUGUAAGAAAGAGAGAGAAGGAAGGAGAGGAGAGAAGAAGAAUAUGCGGGAGGAAAUCUGUAAUUUCAGUGUUAAUAAUAAUUGUCUGACAAUAACCAGAAGCAUUUAAAUUUUUUAUUUUUUUUUUAUUUUUUUGGUGCACUGGUAUUCUA
rnacentral:lncRNA from 1 species